UCCGGCCUAGGAUCGGCAAAGAGGCCUAGGAUCGGAGCAGCCUGCAAACUGCAGAGCUCUUCUCUCCCCGCCUCUCAGCUGAUCGGCAGGUGGGCGGGGCUUCCAGAGAGGCCUCCUCUGAGUAGGCCUCCCUGAAGCCUGAACUCAGCAGGCCCCAGCAAGCCAGGAAGGAGGAGGCUGGCAGAGCUCCCUGCAGCAGACCAGACCAUCCAGCACAGCUUUUGCAAGGACCCAGGUUCCAGUCUGCUUUCCAGGCUAGUUUUCUUCUCCUGUCCAAGACCAUGUGGCAGAAAAGACUGAGGUGAUGAGAGAGACCACUAAUCACCGCCAGGAAAGCCCUGGGACUGAAUUUACUGUAAGCGGAACCACAGCAAGGAAAAAAAGAUGGAGAAAAAUGGUCUGAAGUUCAGCUGUUCAUGACCUCAAAAAUUACGGGACAAAAAGGCAACUUCCACUGUUCCAAUGGAGAGAGGAGACUUUUGAAUUCUCUCCCAAAAUACUGAGGCAACUCAUACAGAACAUGCAGAUGCUGAACUAGUGAUCUCUGAAGUUUGAUAGAUGAGAAUUGAUGGCAAUAAGUGAUAUGGCUAAUGAAUUUUUUUAAAAAAAUUGAUGGGGUGUUAUUUAACUUUUAAUUGUAACUUUUAAUCUGAUUCUUAAUACUGAUUGUUGUUUUUAACCUGACUUUUAACUUGUUUACUUAAUUUGGUUAAUUUUAUUACUUUUAUUGUAUAUUGUAUCUAUUUUAUUGUUGUGAGCCACCCCAAGAAGUAGUGUAUUUGAGGACCAGGUUAUAAAUAUUCUAAAUAAAUAAAUAAAUAAAUACACAAAUAAAUAAUUUAUGAAAAUGUG